UGGCUCUGGUGAUGAGGUGUGAGAAGUGAGUGAGAAGUGAGAAUCUUUGGCUCUGGUGAUGAAGUGUGAGAAGUGAGUGAGAAGUGAGAAUCUUUGGCUCUGGCGAUGAGGUGUGAGAAGUGAGUGAGAAGUGAGAAUCUUUGGCUCUGGUGAUGAGGUGUGAGAAGUGAGUGAGAAGUGAGAAUCUUUGGCUCUGGUGAUGAAGUGUGAGAAGUGAGUGAGAAGUGAGAAUCUUUGGCUCUGGUGAUGAGGUGUGAGAAGUGAGUGAGAAGUGAGAAUCUUUGGCUCUGGUGAUGAAGUGUGAGAAGUGAGUGAGAAGUGAGAAUCUUUGGCUCUGGUGAUGAGGUGUGAGAAGUGAGUGAGAAGUGAGAAUCUUUGGCUCUGGUGAUGAAGUGUGAGAAGUGAGUGAGAAGUGAGAAUCUUUGGCUCUGGUGAUGAAGUGUGAGAAGUGAGUGAGAAGUGAGAAUCUUUGGCUCUGGUGAUGAGGUGUGAGAAGUGAGUGAGAAGUGAGAAUCUUUGGCUCUGGUGAUGAAGUGUGAGAAGUGAGUGAGAAGUGAGAAUCUUUGGCUCUGGUGAUGAAGUGUGAGAAGUGAAGAAAAACAAGUCUGCGUCUGUCUGUAGUGAUGGCUUCAUAGACUUGAGUUGCCGAAAUAUCCUACCCCCGUUACGCCCUAGGAGGUGCAUGGCCGACCGCUUAGUCACUCCUGUUCCCUGCCAGCCAAGGCGAAUUUGUGUGUCACGCCGAGCACGUGUUUCCCUUGUAAGACGAUCCCGGU